GGGUGCGAUCGUACAAGCAAUAAAGCACCGGAUUCCAUCAGAACUUAGAAGUUAAGCUUGCUUGGGCGAGAGUAGUACUAGGAUGGGUGACCUCCUGGGAAGGCCUCUUGUUGCACCCA